GAAAUGCGAUAAGUAAUGUGAAUUGCAGAAUUCAGUGAACCAUCGAAUCUUUGAACGCACAUUGCGCCCGCCAGCAUCCUGGCGGGCAUGCCUGUUCGAGCGUCAUUUCAACCAUCAAGCCCCGAGCUUGUGUUGGGGACCUGCGGCCGCCGCAGGCUCCGAAAAGCAGUGGCGGGCUCGCCGCCGCACCGAGCGUAGUAGCAAUCACCUCGCUCAGGGCGUGCUGCGGGCGCCGGCCGUCAAAGACGUCGACGUCGACGUAUCCCCCCAAGGUUGACCUCGGAUCAGGUAGGAAUACCCGCUGAACUUAA
rnacentral:misc_RNA from 1 species